rnacentral:lncRNA from 1 species
CAGACCAUCACCAUAAUCUUCUAGGACAUGUAGGAACUCUUUUUGUUUGUCUUUUAUGGAGCAAAAAUCAUUUUAGUAAAACAUAUUUCAUCGAACUGCAUGACAUCAAAUGUUCAGGCGUGGAUCCUCUUCAAUGAAGGCAGGGUUUUGGAACUAAUAAAUGCACAUCUAAGGGAGUCAAGCAACCUGUCUCAAGUGCAACGAUCAUUCCAUGUAGGUCUAUUGUGCGUGCAGCAAUGUCCAGACGAUACCUAGCAUGUCAUAAAUCUGAAUUUCACCUACAACCUGUCUCAAGUGCAAAGAUCAUUCCAUGUAGGACUAUUGUGCGUGCAGCACUGUCCAGAAGAUAGGCCUACUAUGGCAUCACUUCUGCUGAUGUUGUCUAGUGACAUUCCAUUGCCCUUACCUAAAGAGCCAGGUUUUU